UACGGGGGGGGCAAGCGUUGUUCGGAAUUACUGGGCGUAAAGGGCUCGUAGGCGGCCAACUAAGUCAGACGUGAAAUCCCGCGGCUUAACCGGGGAACUGCAUCUGAUACUGGAUGGCUUGAGUUCGGGAGAGGGAUGCGGAAUUCCAGGUGUAGCGGUGAAAUGCGUAGAUAUCUGGAGGAACACCGGUGGCGAAGGCGGCAUCCUGGACCGACACUGACGCUGAGGAGCGAAAGCCAGGGGAGCAAACGGG
rnacentral:rRNA from 1 species